UGGGGAAUAUUGCGCAAUGGGCGAAAGCCUGACGCAGCGACGCCGCGUGAGGGAUGAAGGCCUUCGGGUUGUAAACCUCUUUCAGCAGGGAAGAAGCGAGAGUGACGGUACCUGCAGAAGAAGCACCGGCUAACUACGUGCCAGCAGCCGCGGUAAUACGUAGGGUGCAAGCGUUGUCCGGAAUUAUUGGGCGUAAAGAGCUCGUAGGCGGUCUGUCGCGUCUGCUGUGAAAACCCGGGGCUCAACCCCGGGCUUGCAGUGGAUACGGGCAGACUAGAGUUCGGUAGGGGAGACUGGAAUUCCUGGUGUAGCGGUGAAAUGCGCAGAUAUCAGGAGGAACACCGGUGGCGAAGGCGGGUCUCUGGGCCGAUACUGACGCUGAGGAGCGAAAGCGUGGGGAGCGAACAGG
rnacentral:rRNA from 1 species